rnacentral:lncRNA from 1 species
GCGCCAAGAACUAGUGUCCAAAGGGGUUUUCUUACAUGAACCAAAAGCAACCAUGUCUGAGUGACGGCAAGGCCACAUGAUCUUUAGAUCUUUCCAAAGCAUCUAAUCCCUUGUUCGUGUUCAUUGUAUCUUUAGCUUUUUAUUUCUUAAUUCCAGAGAAAUGGACAAGAAGGACGGCCAAGGCCAGCCAGGCCAUGUCCCACCCAAGGAGGAGUAAUCCCAAAGCUAUGUCA